rnacentral:rRNA from 1 species
UACGGAGGGUGCAAGCGUUAUCCGGAUUCACUGGGGUUUAAAGGGCGCGUAGGCGGCCAGCACAAGUCAGUUGUGAAAUCUCCGAGCUUAACUCGGAACGGUCAACUGAUACUGUGCGGCUAGAGUGCAGAAGGGGCAACUGGAAUUCUUGGUGUAGCGGUGAAAUGCGUAGAUAUCGUAAGGAAGACCAGUGGCGAAGGCGGGUCUCUGGACAGUUCCUGACGCUGAGGCACGA